rnacentral:rRNA from 1 species
GACGUAGGGCGCGAGCGUUGUCCGGAUUUAUUGGGCGUAAAGAGCUCGUAGGCGGCUUGUCGCGUCGUUCGUGAAAACCCACGGCUCAACUGUGGGCUUGCGGUCGAUACGGGCAGGCUGGAGUUCGGUAGGGGAGACUGGAAUUCCUGGUGUAGCGGUGAAGUGCGCAGAUAUCAGGAGGAACACCGGUGGCGAAGGCGGGUCUCUGGGCCGAUACUGACGCUGAGGAGCGAAAGCGUGGGGAGCGAACAGG